CGUGCUGGCACGGGGCGGAGCCCGCGCGGGGACGCCUGCGCGCCGCGGGCUGACCAAGCCGAGCUUACCCUGCGGAGCCGGCGCUGGAUCCCGCGGCCGCUGCCUCGUCUUCUGUCGGCUCCGCCGCCAGCCGGGGCUCGGGCCCGGGCCCGGGCCCCCGGGACAUGGCCGUCCGGAGUGCGCAGGAUGAUGGCCCCACCUCCAGCCGCUGGGACGGCGGCGCGGGGAAGGCAGACUUUAAUGCCAAAAGGAAAAAGAAAGUGGCAGAGAUCUACCAGGCUCUGAACAGUGAUCCCACUGAUGUGGCUGCCCUUAGACGUAUGGCUAUCAGUGAAGGAGGGCUCCUGACUGAUGAGAUCAGGCGGAAAGUGUGGCCCAAGCUCCUCAAUGUCAACACCAAUGAUCCACCUCCUAUAUCAGGGAACGACCUACGACAGAUGAGCAAGGACUACCAACAAGUGCUCCUGGAUGUCAGGCGGUCUUUACGGAGGUUCCCUCCUGGCAUGCCAGAAGAACAGAGAGAAGGGCUCCAGGAAGAACUGAUCGACAUCAUCCUCCUCAUCUUGGAGCGCAACCCUCAGCUGCACUACUACCAGGGCUACCACGACAUCGUGGUCACAUUUUUGCUGGUGGUAGGCGAGAAGCUGGCAACAUCCCUGGUAGAAAAAUUGUCUACCCAUCACCUCAGGGAUUUCAUGGAUCCAACAAUGGACAACACCAAGCAUAUAUUAAACUAUCUGAUGCCCAUCAUUGACCAGGUGAAUCCAGACCUCCAUGACUUCAUGCAGAGUGCCGAGGUGGGGACCAUCUUUGCGCUCAGCUGGCUCAUCACCUGGUUUGGGCACGUCCUGUCUGACUUCAGGCACGUCGUGCGGUUAUACGACUUCUUCCUGGCCUGCCACCCACUGAUGCCCAUUUACUUUGCAGCUGUGAUCGUGUUGUAUCGAGAGCAGGAAGUCCUGGAUUGUGACUGCGACAUGGCCUCAGUCCACCACCUGUUGUCCCAGAUCCCUCAGGACCUGCCCUAUGAGACACUGAUCAGUAGAGCAGGAGACCUCUUUGUUCAGUUCCCCCCGUCCGAACUUGCUCGGGAGGCAGCUGCCCAACAGCAAGCUGAGAAAACGGCAGCCUCUACCUUCAAAGACUUUGAGCUGGCAUCAGCCCAGCAGAGGCCUGACAUGGUACUUCGGCAGCGGUUUCGGGGACUUCUGCGGCCUGAGGAGCGAACAAAAGAUGUCCUGACCAAACCAAGGACCAACCGCUUUGUGAAGCUGGCAGUGAUGGGACUGACGGUGGCACUUGGAGCAGCCGCUCUGGCUGUGGUGAAAAGUGCCCUGGAGUGGGCCCCAAAGUUUCAGCUGCAGCUGUUUCCCUAAAUGCCUGAGAAGACACUUCCUCUUACAUGACAUCAAGGUCUCACCCUUCCAUGGACAGAUUGGGAGGGGGUGGAAUUUCCUUUAUUAAAAGGGUUUCUGUCAAGGGUUUUCUAUUUCUGCACCCUUCCCCCCGUCCGUGGAUGCCUUUGCCUCAGAGGCCGGUAGCAGAGCCUGCGUGACGCUGGGCACUCGGAUCCUGAGCACAGAACUCUUUCUGCCUCACAGUGGGCUUCUGAGUGGGCUCUCUGCUGCCCCCUCUUGUGUUGAGGGAAGUGGGUUUCUGCAGCUCCCGGCUGCCUUAGGAACCCGCUGGGCCUGGUCACUGGGGAGCAUCUUGGCUGCUCGUAGUAAGCUGGACCACUGAAUGCCCUCCUGGCAGCUCCUCCCGUUCUGACUGCUUCAGCCAGACAAAGAAGGACGAAGCUGCUGCUAAAGAAGUCAGACCUUGGAAUGAAGGCGAAGGGGCAGAGAAGGCCAGCCUGGGAGCAAGAUUGGCCCCCUUUUAAGAACAGCUCCAUUAGCUGGUCAGAAAUCUAAGAGACACAUGUGAACUAGGUUACUAGGUAAAUCCUACCUAUUUUCAGGCUAGAAAUCACUUGGGCAUUUCCAGUCAAACAGGAAGGAAUGUUACAUUUUAGGGCGCAGACAUAGGCUGGUUUUUGCCUGCCUUUUUUUUUUUUUUUUCUCCUUAUUCUCUUCCACAAGCCACAUGACAAUGCAUAUAAAAGACACUUUUACUACUAUUUUUAGAAUUACAUACACCCAACAUGUAAAGUACCCUCACUUUUAAAGUAAUAGUUCCUUCAUGGAAAAAAAAAAUCGUUCUCGUCAGAAGGAUAAGCUUCUAAAACCCUGCAGUUUCCUUUCUACUCAAUUAUUUAACAUUUCACUUUAGUCAGAGUUGCUAUUUGUAAGCAGCCCCACACUUCCGUAGUGCCCUCUUCUUCUCCAGCUCCCCUUCCUUCCCUCCUGUUUUCCUCCAGUCACCCUUCUACUCCCAAAUAGGCAUCCACUCACAACCUUGGCUUUGUUUUUUGGGUUUAACUUAUCUCCUCAGCUGCUGGUCUCUCCUUCCUGGUAGGAAAUGUCACUGGGAACUCGUCCGCACCCAGAAGGGGACAAGCUGCAUCCUGAAGCGUGUGGCGGGAGCCUGGGACAGCCAGCUCGAGGCUUCCUAAGGACUCUCCAGGUCUCAAGAACAAGUGGCUUUAGCUUUAGACAUCUGGCCUUGAUGCUCCCUCCCUUCCACCCCUGACCUGGAGAUGUGCUGUAUCUGUGGACUCCUGGUUGGCCUUGACUUGCCCGGAGAGCUUGGACAGUACCUGCAGUCCUGUUUCUGUUUUUCCCGAGGCAAGAACCCACGUUGCCUGGGUCCACUGUUUCCUUGGCCCAGAGGGGAGACGUAAGGGGGCUGAAGGCUGAGCAGGCAUCACUCAGCUCCCCGACCGUGUCCCAUCACCGUAGGCCAGCUGCCCAUGCUGUCCUUUGAUUUGACUUGUGGAGGACACAGGGCUGGCCAGGACACCGCCCUGCCUCUGGGACCUCACCAGAGAACUGCAUUGAAGGAGCAAUUGGUUUUCAGUGGCAGUUUCAUAGUUGAUUGAAUGUAAAGAGAAUUUUGAUAAAUAGAAAACUGAAGGAAGGGUAUGUGUGGUGAAAUAAAUAUUUGGGUUUUGUCCCCACUUCCCCUGAAACCCUUAGAAUUUUCUGAGUGAUAGGAGUGUCUUUUGUUCAUAAUGAUUUCCUUUUGAUCCCACCUGAGUUUAUGCUAAUGAAGUGACUUAAGGUGGGACCCCUGGAUGGCACAGGUCACCGGAAAGACCAAGUGAUUAGAGCGUGAGAACUUUGAGCCCCACCACUGACCUCCUGGGAGGGGAGGGGAGGCUGGACAUUGAGCACUGCAAAAACUCCUGAUUCAGAGAUCGGGAGAGCCGCUGGGUUGGCACACACGUCAAGGUGCUGGGAGGGUGGCAUGGCCCGAGAGGGCUUGGGAACACUGCACCCUCUUCCCCCCCGUUCCUUGCCCUAUUCAUCUCUUUUAUUUGGCUGUUCCUGAGUUGUGUCCUUUAUAAUAAAUCAGUACAUGUAAGUAAA